rnacentral:rRNA from 1 species
AUUGAACGCUGGCGGCAGGCCUAACACAUGCAAGUCGAACGGUAACAGGAAGCAGCUUGCUGCUUCGCUGACGAGUGGCGGACGGGUGAGUAAUGUCUGGGAAGCUGCCUGAUGGAGGGGGAUAACUACUGGAAACGGUAGCUAAUACCGCAUAAUGUCGCAAGCCCAAAGAGGGGGACCUUCGGGCCUCUUGCCAUCGGAUGUGCCAAGAUGGGAUUAGCUUGUUGGUGGGGUAACGGCUCACCAAGGCGACGAUCCCUAGCUGGUCUGAGAGGAUGACCAGCCACACUGGAACUGAGACACGGUCCAGACUCCUACGGGAGGCAGCAGUGGGGAAUAUUGCACAAUGGGCGCAAGCCUGAUGCAGCCAUGCCGCGUGUAUGAAGAAGGCCUUCGGGUUGUAAAGUACUUUCAGCGGGGAGGAAGGGAGUAAAGUUAAUACCUUUGCUCAUUGACGUUACCCGCAGAAGAAGCACCGGCUAACUCCGUG